GCGCGGGUGGCGGAAUUGGCAGACGCGCCAGGUUGAGGGCCUGGUCCCGGUUAACGGGGUAAGGGUUCAAGUCCCUUCUCGCGCACCA
rnacentral:tRNA from 1 species